rnacentral:rRNA from 1 species
AGAACGAACGCUGGCGGCAGGCCUCAAACAUGCAAGUCUAGGGGGUGUAGCAAUACAUCACCGGCGGACGGGUGCGUAACGCGUGGGAAUGUACCUAUUGGUUCGGAACAACUGCGGGAAACUGCAGCUAAUACCGAAUGUGCCCGCAAGGGGAAAGAUUUAUCGCCAAUGGAUCAGCCCGCGUAGGAUUAGCUAGUUGGUGAGGUAAUGGCUCACCAAGGCUCCGAUCCUUAGCUGUUCUGAGAGGAAGAUCAGCCACACUGGGACUGAGACACGGCCCAGACUCCUACGGGAGGCAGCAGUUGGGAAUCUUGGACAAUGGGGGAAACCCUGAUCCAGCCAUGCCGCGUGAGUGAUGAAGGCCUUCGGGUUGUAAAACUCUUUCGACGGGACGAUAAUGACGGUACCGUAGAAGAAGCUCCGGCUAACUUCGCGCCAGCAGCCGC